UUUGUUUCCAAGAGCUACUGGUGUUUGUGAAGACGUACACCACUGAGCAGACUGAGAUUCUUAGAAAUCAAACACAGAAAGCCGAGCCAGACAUGAAACUCUUCCUGAAGACUUUGCGAAACUGUGAAGCUCUCAAGCAGCAUGUCCAGACCAAAAGUAACAACAUCAAAACUUCCCUUCCUGACGACACUGUGAA